GAUGAAGAACGCAGCGAAAUGCGAUAAGUAGUGUGAAUUGCAGAAUACAGUGAAUCAUCGAAUCUUUGAACGCACAUUGCGCCCCUUGGUAUUCCAUGGGGCAUGCCUGUUCGAGCGUCAUUUGUACCUUCAAGCUCUGCUUGGUGUUGGGUGUUUGUCUCGCCUCUGCGUGUAGACUCGCCUUAAAACAAUUGGCAGCCGGCGUAUUGAUUUCGGAGCGCAGUACAUCUCGCGCUUUGCACUCAUAACGACGACGUCCAAAAGUACAUUUUUACACUCUUGACCUCGGAUCAGGUAGGGAUACCCGCUGAACUUAAGCAUAUCAAUAAGCGGAGGA
rnacentral:misc_RNA from 1 species